rnacentral:rRNA from 2 species
GAUGAACGCCGGCGGUGUGCCUAAUACAUGCAAGUCGAACGCGUUGGCCCAAUUGAUUGAUGGUGCUUGCACCUGAUUGAUUUUGGUCGCCAACGAGUGGCGGACGGGUGAGUAACACGUAGGUAACCUGCCCAGAAGCGGGGGACAACAUUUGGAAACAGAUGCUAAUACCGCAUAACAACGUUGUUCGCAUGAGCAACGCUUAAAAGAUGGCUUCUCGCUAUCACUUCUGGAUGGACCUGCGGUGCAUUAGCUUGUUGGUGGGGUAACGGCCUACCAAGGCGAUGAUGCAUAGCCGAGUUGAGAGACUGAUCGGCCACAAUGGGACUGAGACACGGCCCAUACUCCUACGGGAGGCAGCAGUAGGGAAUCUUCCACAAUGGGCGCAAGCCUGAUGGGGCAACACCGCGUGAGUGAAGAAGGGUUUCGGCUUGUAAAGCUUCUGUUG